rnacentral:rRNA from 1 species
UGAACGCUGGCGGUAUGCCUAACACAUGCAAGUCGUACGAGAGUUUUUAACUCAAGUGGCGGACGGGUGAGUAACACGUGAGAAUCUGCCUUUAGGAGGGGGACAACAACUGGAAACGGUUGCUAAUACCCCAUAUGCUUUCGAGUGAAAUGAAUUUAUUCGCCUAGAGAGAAGCUCGCGGCUGAUUAGCUUGUUGGUAAGGUAAUGGCUUACCAAGGCGACGAUCAGUAUCUGGUUUGAGAGGACGAUCAGACACACUGGAACUGAGACACGGUCCAGACUCCUACGGGAGGCAGCAGUGGGGAAUUUUCCGCAAUGGGCGAAAGCCUGACGGAGCAAUACCGCGUGAGGGAUGACGGCCUAUGGGUUGUAAACCUCUUUUUUCAGGGAGGAAUCAAUGACGUGUACCUGAAGAAUAAGCAUCGGCUAACUCC